CACAUGUACACGCACGGGUGUGGGGACCCGUGCACCAGGGGACAUCAGAAAGAGUGGACUUCUCAUUUUUAGGUGUGGUCAGUUUGACUGUCUAAAAUUGUUUUCUACUCAUUGCAAAUGAACUUGCUGUACUGGUCUUGAAUUUACUAAUGAAAGGUAUGUGCUUGGUGCCAUCAACUGAAGGGGCCUUGGAUCUUCUGGAACUGGACUUACAGCUGUGAGCUUCUAUGUUGAUUCUGGUAAUCCAACACGGGUCUGCUGGUAAACGGUCAGAAAUGGGCACACAGGAGACCUCAGCAGCCCACCUGUGUACACCUUCUCCCUCUACAACAGAAGACAGGUCGACUUGGGAGGCUUAAGCCUGGACUGGACAGAAGGUCUAGUUACCACACAUCAACAGAUGAUCAACAGGAUUUGGUCAAGGGAUCUUUGGGAGCCAAGCUGUUCCUGAAAGGAUGGUUAUUCUCUCACAGGACAAAACAAAGAAAUCCAAUGAGGAUGCUCCUCAUUUCUCCAAAGAGGAAACUGAGGCUUAGAGAGAUACUGUAAUGUCCUGGGAUGAAAGCUGGACACUGUACCUCACACAGCAGAAGGUCAAUGAUGUGGAACACCAUGCAGAGUGGAAACUUGGCAGUAAAGAGAGUGAGGAACCACUGGGAUGCAUACAUAUGAGCUUCCAGGUUCAGAUCACAGAAGUGGCUGUACAGGUCUGGCAGCUGUUCCUAAAAGCCAAAAGCAAAGGGUGAGGAGAACGAUUACCAAGGAAGUAUUGUCGUUUGCAACAACUGUAGUGUGCACCUGCAUGUCAGUGCACAGAGGUGAUGACAGGAGAUGGGGAUAGACACACGACAGAUGAGUGUGGACAGAAACAACUGGGUGCAACAGGAUUAUCCUUGCGAACAUGAAAGAGAGUUCCUGCUUCCUGGAAAAAUCUUGUUCUCUCAGAACACCUUCAUUCUAAUGACAAUUCUUAGACUAAGGUAAGAGACAGGAUUCACCUCCUACCCACCUAGAAACAAAAUAUAUCUUCAUACUCACAGACCAUAAUUUCAUUUGAACUUUUAAUAAACAUUAGAUCAUUUUAUUAUUUGUCAGUUGUAAAUGUUGCAAAUUCUCAAACAAUGUUAUCUGAGGUACACAGUAUACUUUUAGAGUAAUUUGCGCACUUGGAAACUCUAAACCAUGACCAGACAUAAAGACCUAACUGUGGACUGGAGAGGCGGCUAAGAGCUCAAAGCUGGUGCUGGUCUUCCAGGGGACCUGAGGCUGGUUCCACGCACCCAGGUCAGGUACCUUGCAUCCACACGCAGCUCUAGCUUCAGGAGAUCGGCUGCCCUCUCUGGCCGACUUGGUCACCCAAAUACAAAUAUAAAUGCAUCCAGGUAAUACAUAAAUACAUACAUACAUACAUACAUACAUACAUACAUACAUACAUACAUACAUACAUACAUAAAUAUUUCUUUAAAUAUCUCAUCAUGAUCAUAUAAAAAUGACAAAGUAAAACUGUACAAGAGUGCAAUACAAGAUAAAUAGCUCCUAACAAUGCUAUUUAUCUUGUAGUGUGUGUGUGUGUGUGAGAGAGAGACAGACAGACAGACAGACAGACAGAGACAGAGAGAGUCAGAGACAGAGAGACAACCAUUUUUGUAUCAAAUGCUCAUAUUGAAGAGGACUGAAAUGUAUCUAUUUGAUGGUUUAAAUGAGGUAUCAAAAUUGUUAUCGAGCCCAACUUGAUAUAUUAGAUAUAGUUAUUUAACUUUUAAAUCACAUAAGGAAUACUAACUUUUGGAAAAAAAACAACCAACUUUUAUGUCUGAAAAGUGAGAAGUAAUAAUAAAACAAAAUAAAUGUC
ensembl:antisense Gm36975 predicted gene, 36975